rnacentral:rRNA from 1 species
GACGAACGCUGGCGGCGUGCUUAACACAUGCAAGUCGAACGGUAAGGCCCUUCGGGGUACACGAGUGGCGAACGGGUGAGUAACACGUGGGUGAUCUGCCCUGCACUUCGGGAUAAGUCUGGGAAACUGGGUCUAAUACCGGAUAGGACUCCGGACUGCAUGGUCUGGGGUGGAAAGCUUUUGCGGUGUGGGAUGGGCCCGCGGCCGAUCAGCUUGUUGGUGGGGUGAUGGCCUACCAAGGCGACGACGGGUAGACGGCCUGAGAGGGUGACCGGCGACACUGAGACUGGGAUAAGGCACAGACUCCUACGGGAGGCAGCAGUGGGGAAUAUUGAACAAUGGGCGCAAGCAUGAUGCAGCGACGCCGCGGGAGGGAUGACGGCCUUCGGGUUGUAAACCUCAUUCAGCAUCGACGAAGCGAAAGUGACGGUAGGUGCAGAAGAAGGACCGGCCAACUACGUGCCAGCCGCCGCCGUAA